rnacentral:rRNA from 1 species
GUGCCAGCAGCCGCGGUAAUACGUAGGGAGCAAGCGUUGUCCGGAUUUACUGGGUGUAAAGGGUGCGCAGGCGGGUUAGUAAGUCAGGGGUGAAAUCUCACGGCUUAACCGUGAAAUUGCCUUUGAUACUGCUAACCUUGAGUUCGGGAGAGGUCGAUGGAAUUCCAGGUGUAGCGGUGAAAUGCGUAGAUAUCUGGAAGAACACCAGUAGCGAAGGCGGUCGACUGGCCCGUAACUGACGCUCAGGCACGAAAGCGUGGGGAGCGAACAGGAUUAGAAACCCUCGUAGUCC